rnacentral:rRNA from 1 species
GCAGCCGCCGCGGGAACACGAAGGGGGCUAGCGUUGUUCGGAAUUACUGGGCGUAAAGCGCACGUAGGCGGAUUUUUAAGUCAGGGGUGAAAUCCCGAGGCUCAACCUCGGAACUGCCUUUGAUACUGGAGAUCUUGAGUUCGGAAGAGGUUGGUGGAACAGCUAGUGUAGAGGUGAAAUUCGUAGAUAUUAGCUAGAACACCAGUGGCGAAGGCGGCCAACUGGUCCGAUACUGACGCUGAGGUGCGAAAGCGUGGGGAGCAAACAGGAUUAGAUACCCCCGUAGUCCCUGUCUCUUAUAC